rnacentral:rRNA from 1 species
UACGUAGGGGGCUAGCGUUGUCCGGAAUCAUUGGGCGUAAAGAGCGUGUAGGCUGCUCGGUAAGUCGGAUGUGAAACCUCCAGGCUCAACCUGGAGACGCCAUCUGAUACUGCCGUGGCUUGAGUCCGGUAGAGGAGCAGGGAAUUCCUGGUGUAGCGGUGAAAUGCGCAGAUAUCAGGAGGAACACCAGCGGCGAAGGCGCUGCUCUGGGCCGGUAUUGACGCUGAGGAGCGAAAGCGUGGGGAGCGAACAGG